rnacentral:rRNA from 1 species
GACGAACGCUGGCGGCGUGCCUAAUACAUGCAAGUCGAGCGAAUCGAUGGGAGCUUGCUCCCUGAGAUUAGCGGCGGACGGGUGAGUAACACGUGGGUAACCUGCCUGUAAGACUGGAAUAACUUCGGGAAACCGGAGCUAAUACUGGAUAAUUUCUUUUCUCGCAUGAGGAGAGAUGGAAAGAUGGUUCUGCUAUCACUUACAGAUGGACCCGCGGUGCAUUAGCUAGUUGGGGAGGUAACGGCUAACCAAGGCGACGAUGCGUAGCCGACCUGAGAGGGUGAUCGGCCACACUGGGACUGAGACACGGCCCAGACUCCUACGGGAGGCAGCAGUAGGGAAUCUUCCGCAAUGGACGAAAGUCUGACGGAGCAACGCCGCGUGAGCGAAGAAGGCCUUCGGGUCGUAAAGCUCUGUUGUUAGGGAAGAACAAGUACGAGAGUAACUGCUCGUACCUUGACGGUACCUAACCAGAAAGCCACGGCUAACUACGUGCCAGCAGCCGCAGUAAGAC